AGUGAACGCUGGCGGUAGGCCUAACACAUGCAAGUCGAACGGCAGCACAGUAAGAGCUUGCUCUUACGGGUGGCGAGUGGCGGACGGGUGAGGAAUACAUCGGAAUCUACUUUUUCGUGGGGGAUAACGUAGGGAAACUUACGCUAAUACCGCAUACGACCUACGGGUGAAAGCAGGGGAUCUUCGGACCUUGCGCGAUUGAAUGAGCCGAUGUCGGAUUAGCUAGUUGGCGAGGUAAAGGCCCACCAAGGCGACGAUCCGUAGCUGGUCUGAGAGGAUGAAUAGCCACACUGGAACUGAGACACGGUCCAGACUCCUACGGGAGGCAGCAGGGGGGAAUAUUGGACAAUGGGCGCAAGCCUGAUCCAGCCAUACCGCGUGGGUGAAGAAGGCCUUCGGGUUGUAAAGCCCUUUUGUUGGGAAAGAAAAGCAGCAGGUUAAUACCCCGCUGUUCUGACGGUACCCAAAGAAUAAGCACCGGCUAACUUCGUG
rnacentral:rRNA from 1 species